UAAAAACCUGUGAUGAGAAUAGUAAUAAUAUUAUGAUUUUUAGAGAGUCAGUGGUUAGGUGUAAACUGAUAAUUGUAGAUUAUGAAUCCACCUCUGAGGGACUGCGAUGAGUAGUACGGUAUAUAUCGUUAAAUAGUUAAGUGGAUAGUAUUUUUAAUACUAUCAAUUAGGGUGGCAACGCGGAGUUCUUCGUCCCUUGU
rnacentral:ncRNA from 1 species